CAAAUGAGAUUCGAGGCUGACGGUUGGGUAACCAGCUGAGGAACCUCGCCUCACACUCCAAGCAAGGUGUGAUACUACUCACUAUGAUGAAAAUCGUAUAUUUAGUAAUAGAAACGGCACUGCCCUUUUGCCUAUAUUAAUGACUUGGAAAUAAGCCAAAGAAAUGGUUUAAGGGAAUGGUUGAAACGAGCUAAAUCCUUGGUGCAAGGCCAAAUGAAAGUGAUGAAAACUUGGAGCGAGCUUUAGGUAGGCCGCAUAGUUAGAUGCCUCAGCUAUUUCUUGGUGACGAGAAUAGUACAAAAAGGCGGGUAUGGAUCUCAGUUG
rnacentral:RNase_P_RNA from 1 species